CAUUCUAUCACCCCUUUAAAUCGUUCUGGUGUUGAUAAGUUGUUCUUUUAUUAGGUUGCGAGCUGUGAACCUAUUGGAUACAAUUCCUGUCGAGUUAUUAAUGUCUUUGAACUCCGGUUGUUUUUUUGUUGAGUACCAGAAUUACGGACUACCCGAAGGAUGGCGAGCCUUGCCCAGCAGAUCUGUGGACGGGGUUGGAUGUGGUGUGGCCAGCCAUAACGACCUGCCACAGAGGACUUGGAUUUGCAUAUUCACUCACUCUGAUACAGAUAAGAUACACACUAACCUACCCGGGUAGAAGCAUUAGAGUUGAUAUUGAACACACAUACAUCCGGAUAUUUCCCCCUAAGACUGAACUUUCUUUCUCUGAGGCAGAAAGUCUCGUCCUCAAUACAGAGGAGCCAUAGGGUUGGACCAACCAACUAAAAAAAGACCUACUUCUUUUGUUUAUUAUUUUCAUUAAGAGCUCUAUUUUAUUUUGGUAUAUACAUCGUAUGGUCUGUAAACUCUGUAAAUGUUGUUGAUUCAUGGUGACAGGCAAUAAAGCUGUCAACUGUUAACCCAACACGCACUCCCUUUGUGAGUUAUCUAAUUCAAGUGUAUACUCCCAUCGGACCUAGAGUGAUGUGUCUCAUCUGCCAAUCAGGUUAGGACCAGAGGUGCUACACUAACGCUAACUAUUUGGUAGCUGCCAUGCUACAAUAGAGAACCUAUUACAAUCAGAUUUUAAGACAGCUCCUAGCUAAACCUAACUAGACUACUAGAGUUGAGCCGGAUACUCGGCUGAAACAAGUAUCCGGUACGGAUAAAGCACUUUUGCCGAGUACGAGUAUUAUACGAGUAAUACGAGUCAAUAUCUGUGCUCGGAUUGAAUAAAAAUCCUCAUUGGGUAGCUGACUGUGUCUGCGUUCUGUGAUAGGCUAGUCACACAGCGCCCCUCCCCUACACACAUACAGAUUUAUUGUGUUGCUGUGUCCCACUCUGCUCACUCACACACAGAACACUGAGAAGAGAACAGCUCUCUCUCUCUCUCUGUCUCUCCCUCAGUCACUCAAGUUCGCGGGUCUUUUCCGUUAACGUUUAGGGUUUCUUCAGCUUCAGAUGCUGUAAAUGUGUACACCAAAGUCUGAAGACAAUGUUCUGAUUUAUUUUCCAAAGGUAUGUGGCUCCAUAAUGUAAUUAGGUUUUAAUGAAGUGCUACAACUUUAUGCAUUUAGGCUGCAGUUAUGCCAUUCUAUAUGGGAAGUUUAAAAGUUAUGAUUGAGAUGAUGGUUUUGUAUGCAUUUUCUAUUACUGAAAGAGUGAUUGGCAGAGAAGCUGUAUACUUUUGAUCGGAUGCUGUAAAUGUGUACACCAAAGUCUGAAGACAAUGUUCUGAUUUAUUUUCCAAAGGAAAAAUAAAGAAGAAGGGUUCAACAUUU